CUAAAGAAGAUUUUGUGGGUAACGUCUCUCACUAUAUUCCUCUCCCAGACUGCUAUAAAGGCCAAAUUAAUAAAAGUCACUAGGCCUCAGUGGGCCGGGAUGCAUGGUUGGUUUUGAGUGUUGUUUAACUUUACUGCAUCCAACACAAAGAAUCAAUUAACACUGAAGGUUACAUAUAGCUAUCACAUUUUAAUGUGAGCCAGGAUAUAUAGAGGAUUAUAUUUCAUAUGGUGCAUGAACUUCAGUAAGACAAAGAGCCUCUCAGGAAUGUUACCACUAGUUCUACCAACCUCAAGACCAAAAUUUUAAAAACCUCCAGUAUUUUAUUACAGUACUGCUAGAGUGGGGCUUGCUCAGGCUCGCUCUAAUAAUUCUUCAAAUUAAAUUUUUAUUAUAGUCACACAGUAUGAAUCAAACAAGAUCAAUCAAAAUUAUAAUCAUCAAUAUUAAUAAAAUCAAAUCCCAAUUCUUUUCUAAUAGCUUUAAAUAAGGCUUUUGCUGCAUCAGCAUAA